rnacentral:rRNA from 1 species
GAUGAACGCUGGCGGCGUGCCUAAUACAUGCAAGUCGAGCGAACAGACGAGGAGCUUGCUCCUCUGACGUUAGCGGCGGACGGGUGAGUAACACGUGGAUAACCUACCUAUAAGACUGGGAUAACUUCGGGAAACCGGAGCUAAUACCGGAUAAUAUAUUGAACCGCAUGGUUCAAUAGUGAAAGACGGUUUUGCUGUCACUUAUAGAUGAAUCCGCGCCGCAUUAGCUAGUUGGUAAGGUAACGGCUUACCAAGGCAACGAUGCGUAGCCGACCUGAGAGGGUGAUCGGCCACACUGGAACUGAGACACGGUCCAGACUCCUACGGGAGGCAGCAGUAGGGAAUCUUCCGCAAUGGGCGAAAGCUUGACGGAGCAACGCCGCGUGAGUGAUGAAGGUCUUCGGAUCGUAAAACUCUGUUAUUAGGGAAGAACAAAUGUGUAAGUAACUAUGCACGUCUUGACGGUACCUAAGCAGAAAGCCACGGCUAACUACGU